UACGUAGGGAGCAAGCGUUGUCCGGAAUCAUUGGGCGUACAGCGCGCGUCGGUGGCCAUGUAAGUCCGCUGUGAAAGUCAAAGGCUCAACCUUUGAAAGCCGGUGGAUACUGCAUGGCUAGAGUACGGAAGAGGCGAGUGGAAUUCCUGGUGUAGCGGUGGAAUGCGCAGAUAUCAGGAGGAACACCAAUAGCGAAGGCAGCUCGCUGGGACGUUACUGACACUGAGGCGCGAAAGCGUGGGGAGCGAACAGG
rnacentral:rRNA from 1 species